rnacentral:rRNA from 1 species
AGUGAACGCUGGCGGCAGGCCUAACACAUGCAAGUCGAACGGAUCCUUCGGGAUUAGUGGCGGACGGGUGAGUAACGCGUGGGAACAUACCCUUUGGUACGGAAUAGCCUCGGGAAACUGGGAGUAAUACCGUAUGUGGUCGAGAGACGAAAGAUUUAUCGCCAAAGGAUUGGCCCGCGUUGGAUUAGGUAGUUGGUGGGGUAAUGGCCUACCAAGCCGACGAUCCAUAGCUGGUUUGAGAGGAUGAUCAGCCACACUGGGACUGAGACACGGCCUAGACUCCUACGGGAGGCAGCAGUGGGGAAUCUUAGACAAUGGGGGAAACCCUGAUCUAGCCAUGCCGCGUGAUCGAUGAAGGCCUUAGGGUUGUAAAGAUCUUUCAGGUGGGAAGAUAAUGACUGUACCACCAGAAGAAGCCCCGGCUAACUCCGUGCCAGCCGCCGCGGUAA